UACGUAGGGUGCAAGCGUUAAUCGGAAUUACUGGGCGUAAAGCGCGCGCAGGCGGUUAUGCAAGACAGGUGUGAAAUCCCAGGGCUUAACCUUGGAACUGCAUUUGUGACUGCAUAGCUAGAGUACGGUAGAGGGGGAUGGAAUUCCGCGUGUAGCAGUGAAAUGCGUAGAUAUGCGGAGGAACACCGAUGGCGAAGGCAAUCCCCUGGACCUGUACUGACGCUCAUGCACGAAAGCGUGGGGAGCAAACAGG
rnacentral:rRNA from 1 species